GAUAAACGCUGGCGGCGUGCUUCAGGCAUGCAAGUCGAACGAGUGUCCACCCUUCGGGGUGGUCUACUAGUGGCGGACGGGUGAGUAACGCGUUAGCAACCUGCCCAAAGGUGGGGAAUAACUAACCGAAAGGUUAGCUAAUACCGCAUGUGAUAGCUGGUUCUUGGACCGGUUAUGAAAGGCUUCGGUCGCCUUUGGAGGGGCUUGCGUCAGAUUAGCUAGUUGGUGGGGUAAUGGCCUACCAAGGCGACGAUCUGUAGCUGGUCUGAGAGGAUGGUCAGCCACACGGGGACUGAGAUACGGCCCCGACUCCUACGGGAGGCAGCAGCUAGGAAUCUUGGGAAUGGGCGAAAGCCUGACCCAGCAACGCCGCGUGGGCGAUGAAGGCCUUCGGGUCGUAAAGCCCUUUUGCGAGGGACGAUGAUGACGGUACCUCGCGAAUAAGCCACGGCUAACUACGUGCCAGCCGCCGCAGUAACAC
rnacentral:rRNA from 1 species